AUUGAACGCUGGCGGCAUGCCUUACACAUGCAAGUCGAACGGCAGCACGGGUGCUUGCACCUGGUGGCGAGUGGCGAACGGGUGAGUAAUACAUCGGAACGUACCUUAUCGUGGGGGAUAACGCAGCGAAAGCUGUGCUAAUACCGCAUACGCCCUGAGGGGGAAAGCGGGGGAUCGCAAGACCUCGCGCGAUUAGAGCGGCCGAUGCCUGAUUAGCUAGUUGGUGGGGUAAAAGCCCACCAAGGCGACGAUCAGUAGCUGGUCUGAGAGGACGAGCAGCAACACUGGGACUGAGACACGGCCCAGACUCCUACGGGAGGCAGCAAGGGGGAAUUGUGGACAAUGGGGGCAACCCUGAUCCAGCAAUGCCGCGUGAGUGAAGAAGGCCUUCGGGUUGUAAAGCUCUUUUGUCAGGGAAGAAACACCGGCUCUAACACAGUCCGGGAAUGACGGUACCUGAAGAAUAAGCACCGGCUAACUACGUGCCAGCAGCCGCCGUAA
rnacentral:rRNA from 1 species